rnacentral:lncRNA from 1 species
CUCACAACCUAUCCCAUCUGGAAGUGUUCCCUCCUUAGCUAAAAAAUUAGGUCUCUCCCUUCCAAAUCGCUCUCAGCCUCUUUCUCACUCGCCAUCGUUCUCAGCCUCUCUCUCACUCCCUAUCGCUCUCAGCCUCAAUCCCGCUCACUCUCUCACCCUUGUCGAGCCUCUCAGCCUCACUCUCACUCAGCCUCAUCGAUCUCUCUCCGUCGUGCGUGCCUUCAGUCUCUCCACCACGGGUUCUCUUUCUGUCAGUCUCCCUCAGUCGCUACUCCAUAUCUCUCUCUCUCUCUCCCCCUCCCCCUUGAGGAUCCACGGGUUCACUCUUCAGCCUCCAUCUCUCUCUCCUUAUUUUGCGACACGGGUUGGGUGCACCGGCGUUGUGUUUUUCGUUGAGGAGAAAGAUGAACGACUCAGAUUGAACUUCCGGGCACAAUUACUAGCUAAUGCACAUGCAGCUUUCUAGUUGGACUUUCUAAUGACAGGUUGAUGUACUUUCCAAGGGGACUAAUUUUAAUUGUAUUGGUGAUUGGGUUGUGGAGGCCACUGUAAAGUAAGAUUAGUUUGCAUGCACAUUUUCUUCUACUUAUUUAUAUAGUAUCUAUCUAAAAGAGUUUCCCUUGGUGCUUGUUUGUUUGCAAUGUUAUGAGCAUUCACCUGACGAGUGCAAAGUCUUUGGUUGGAUAGUUGGAGUUGCACAAAAGGAAAAGAAGGGGCGGGAUGUGUAUGUUAUGGUGAGCUUCUUGAUGGGAAUUCUGGAAGUUUACUUAGUACUGAGCAGCAAAUCCAUGCUCCAGCUAAUUUAAUAAAAGGCACACACCAAAUGCUUUCACAAGCAAUAUAGUGCUUUUAACAGAUCACACAGUUUUGUUUUUCUGGGCCAUGCAAAUACUGAAAGGCACUUUGCAUUGUGUCUUCAUCAAGAUUGGGUAUCAAGGUGGGCUUUGCUUAAAAAUUAGGAUCAAGAAGGUUGGUAUGUGGAGAUAAUAAUAAAGGCAUACGGAGAAAGCUUGCCUUGACCACACUGCUGGCUUAGUUGCUGUGUGUAAAUAGUACUAUCGUAUCUAGUAGUUGGUGACUUAUUUUGGUAACCUCCUUGAUUGUACAAGAUAGACAAUAUUACUUGCUAGAUUGAGGUUACUUUUGGUUAGGAUUGCUGGAUUUGAUCAUAUCUGGAUAUGGAUA